CCUACGGGGGGCAGCAGUGGGGAAUCUUCCGCAAUGGGCGAAAGCCUGACGGAGCAACGCCGCGUGAUCGAAUGAAGGCCUUCGGGUUGUAAAGUUCUGUUGACAGGGACGAAUAAGCAAUGCGAAUAGUUUUGUGUAUGACGGUACCUGUUUAGAAAGCUCCGGCUAACUACGUGCCAGCAGCCGCGGUAAUACGUAGGGAGCAAGCGUUGUCCGGAAUUACUGGGCGUAAAGGGCGCGUAGGUGGGCGCGUAAGUCAGGUGUGAAAACACCGGGCUCAACCUGGAGACUGCACUUGAAACUGGGUGUCUUGAGGGCAGGAGAGGAAAGUGGAAUUCCUAGUGUAGCGGUGAAAUGCGUAGAUAUUAGGAGGAACACCAGUGGCGAAGGCGACUUUCUGGACUGUACCUGACGCUGAGGCGCGAAAGCGUGGGUAGCGAACAGGAUUAGAUACCCCAGUAGUC
rnacentral:rRNA from 1 species